ensembl:lncRNA
UUUUCAUUUCUGUGUGUCUGUGUGUGUGUGUGUGCGUGCGUGUGCAGGUGUCUAUUUUUCACUCUUGAUAAUUUAGAGUGUCUUGAUUGCUGUGGACUUUUUUUCUGCAUAGUGACUUAUUUGUAGUUUGUACCACCACAAGGUUCUCUGAAUUUUUGUAUUUUUUCGUAUUUCCCAUUCAUUUCCUAUGUCGGUAAUUUUUGACCGCGAAGGAGCCAGGUGUGACUUUUUUUUUUGAUCCUUUAACAAAUCUGUUAUAUAACAUAACAUACACAUAUUUGUGUGUGUGUGUGUGUCUUCACAUAGCUAAUGCAACAAAAGUCACCAAGUGUAAUCUCAUUCUGAUGAAGCCACGAUUUUUAUGAUUUCAAAAUAUAAAAAGCCCAGGGGGUUAAAACAUAACUCUGUCUUGACAAUUGGCUUGUCAGAUAGUUUGUUACAUUCAUUGCUACAGUUAUCACCGUCAAUCACGGAUCAAUUUGACAGAUUCACUUGCAUAAUUUUUUACACUUGUGUUUGUCAUUCCUGAAACAGUAUACAUGGACGGUCCUCUUAAAACUUUCUUCAAACUGAACAAAAAGAUGCCUGUGAUUGGCUACAAUACUCAAUGCUGCAAAACACUUUGUAAAUAGAAACGUCAGUGAAGACGAAGAAGAGAAUGACAUGUUCUCCCGCCACCUAUUUAUCUAUAGUCGCACCGGUAGUGACAUCAGGGGCUGUUGCCGGCCAACUUGUUGGUGUUUUUUCAAUGUAUGCUUCAGACACGGGUCACAACGAGGCGUUCCCCCUAGCGACCCCUAGAGGAUGCAGUUCGAAGUUCCCUUGAAAAGGAACUUUUGGUUUUGUAAUUCGAAACCAGAGCACGCAGACAAAAACCCACAGGAGAGUUUGAAAGUGAUGACACGUUUGAGCUGCAUUUGGUGCAGCUCGAGCUGGAGGCCGUGGAGAAGCAGAUACGGGUCCUGGAGCAGAGGCAGGCCCAGCAGAGAGAAUGGAGAGCCGUGCUGGAAACCUCCCGGGCUGACG